UUNNUAGCGUUAUCUCUUGACGUUAGCAACAGAAGAAGCACCGGCUAACUCCGUGCCAGCAGCCGCGGUAAUACGGAGGGUGCGAGCGUUAAUCGGAAUUACUGGGCGUAAAGCGCAUGCAGGUGGUUCAUUAAGUCAGAUGUGAAAGCCCGGGGCUCAACCUCGGAACUGCAUUUGAAACUGGUGAACUAGAGUGCUGUAGAGGGGGGUAGAAUUUCAGGUGUAGNNNUGA
rnacentral:rRNA from 1 species